ensembl:rRNA 5S_rRNA 5S ribosomal RNA
GCUUAUGGCCACACCGCCUGGUUCACGUCCGAUCUCGUUUGAUCUCGGAAGCUAAAAUAGGUUGGGCCUGGUUAGUACUUGCAUGGGAGACCGCCUGGGAAUACCAGGUGCUGUAAGCU